CGGCGCACGGGUGAGUAACGCGUAUGCAACCUUCCUUUAACUGGGGGAUAGCCCGGAGAAAUUCGGAUUAAUACCCCAUAACAUCAUAGAAAGGCAUCUUUCAGUGAUUAAAGCUCCGGCGGUUAAAGAUGGGCAUGCGUGCCAUUAGCUAGUUGGUGAGGUAACGGCUCACCAAGGCUACGAUGGUUAGGGGGUCCGAGAGGAUGAUCCCCCACACUGGUACUGAGACACGGACCAGACUCCUACGGGAGGCAGCAGUGAGGAAUAUUGGGCAAUGGGCGCAAGCCUGACCCAGCCAUGCCGCGUGAAGGAUGAAUGCCCUAUGGGUUGUAAACUUCUUUUGUACGGGACGAAACUCCUGGUCGUGACCGGGAUUGACUGUACCGUGCGAAUAAGCAUCGGCUAACUCCGUGCCAGCAGCCGCGGUAAUACGGAGGAUGCAAGCGUUAUCCGGAUUCAUUGGGUUUAAAGGGUGCGUAGGCGGAAUAGUAAGUCAGUGGUGAAAGCCUGCGGCUUAACCGUAGAAAUGCCAUUGAUACUGUUAUUCUUGAGUAUAGUUGAGGUGGGCGGAAUGUGUAAUGUAGCGGUGAAAUGCUUAGAUAUUACACAGAACACCAAUUGCGAAGGCAGCUCACUAAGCUGUUACUGACGCUGAGGCACGAAAGCGUGGGGAGCAAACAGGAUUAGAUACCCUGGUAGUCCACGCCGUAAACGAUGAUCACUCGUUGUUGGCGAUACACCGUCAGCGACUGAGCGAAAGCAAUAAGUGAUCCACCUGGGGAGUACGGCGGCAACGCUGAAACUCAAAGGAAUUGACGGGGGCCCGCACAAGCGGAGGAACAUGUGGUUUAAUUCGAUGAUACGCGAGGAACCUUACCUGGGCUUGAAAGGGAUUGACCUCCCGGGAAACC
rnacentral:rRNA from 1 species